UUGAUGUUUGUCUUACUUCAUUUUAUCUCUCUUUCCUUUCUCCAUAAAGUCAGGCCACUCCCUUACUUGCCCUAAUAACAACUAUCUCUCACUUUCCCACUAAAAUCUCAAAUUCCUUAUCAUGUCCGAGGGUAUGACCGUGUCUGACCCAACAGCCCCUAUCGGACCUUCCGUCGUGUCCGACGCCAUCAUCCAUCACACCCCUUCUUCGUCUCAUUCAUACGAUGUAUUUGUGAGCUUCCGUGGUGAAGACACGCGCAACAACUUCACUAGUUUUCUCUUUGGAGAUCUCCAUCGAGCAGGCAUUGUUGCCUUCAGAGAUGACGAAUGUAUCAAAAAAGGUGAUUUCAUAGCACCCGAGCUUCUACAAGCCAUUCAGGGCUCUCGACUUUUCGUUGUUGUCUUAUCAAAGAACUAUGCUUCCUCCACUUGGUGCUUACGUGAACUCGUAGAGAUAUUUAAUUGCUGUGAAACUUCACCAAGACCUGUUAUACCUAUAUUUUAUGAUGUUGAGCCUACGACGGUGCGCAACCAGAAAGGAUGUUAUGAGAAAGCAUUUGCAGAACACGAAAACAGAUUCAGAGAAGACAAGGUAAAGAUGGAGGAAGUUCAAAGAUGGAAAGAAGCUCUCAGAAAACUGGCCAAUAUCUCUGGUUCGGAUAUCGGAAAUAAGCCACAAAAUGAACAGAUUGAAAAAAUUGUUCAAGAGAUAAUAAAUAAUUUGAGACCAAAAUUUUUAAAUCUUCCAAGGGAUCAACUAGUUGGGAUAGAGGAUCGAGUUCAAGACUUAGGAAAUAUUUUGCGUUUCGACCUCAAUGAUGUUCGAGUUGUCGGAAUAAGUGGGAUGGGUGGCAUAGGAAAGACAACUCUUGCUCGGGCUUUAUACGAAAGAAUUUGUCAUCAAUAUAAAUAUCGUUGUUUUAUUGACGAUGUAAGCAAAAUAUUUCUAGAUUCUCGUUCGAUGGGCUUACAAAAGCAAUUAAUUUCUCAGACUCUAAAUGAGAAAAGUGUAAAGAUUUGCAAUGUUACUGAGGGAACAUGUUUGGUGCAGUCCAAACUGAACAAUGCUAAGGCACUCAUAGUUUUUGACAACGUUGAUCAAGUUCAACAACUGAGGAUAUUUAGCGGAAAUAGAGACAAUUUGUUGCGAGAAUGCUUAGGUGGAGGGAGCAGAAUCAUCAUAGUUUCUAGGGAUGAACAAAUAUUGAAGAUACACGGAGUGGAUGAUAUUUAUCAAGUUGGACCGUUGGAACGGAAUGAUGCUAUCCAACUAUUUUGUAGAAAUGCUUUCAAAGUUAAUUACAUUUUGAGCGAUUAUGAAAAGUUGGCAGAUAAGAUACUAUCACAUGUUGAAGGCCAUCCCUUGGCAAUUGAAACAAUUGGAUCAUCUUUGUUUGGCCGAAGUUUGUCACAAUGGAAAAGUGUAUUGGAAGGGCUGAAAGAAAAUAAAAGUAAAAAUAUUAUGGAUAUUUUGCGCAUAAGUUAUAUUCAACUGGAAGAAAAAUACAAACAAACUUUUUUAGAUAUUGCUUGCUUCUUCAAUUCUUAUGAUGAAGAAUGUGUGAAGGAAAUUCUAAAUUUCCGUGGAUUUCAUCCUGAAGAUAGCAUACAAGUUCUCAUUGAUAAAUCACUCAUUACCAGAGAUUUCUAUGAUGGGAUGACAAUAAAAAUGCAUAGCUUGCUAGUGGAUUUGGGCAGGUGUAUUGUUCGGGAAGUAUCACCUAAAGAGCCUAUAAAGUGGAGUAGGUUGUGGACACGCAAAGAUCUCCAUGAUGCUAUGUCAGAGAACGAGGCAACUCGAAACCUUGAGGCAAUAGUUCUUAGAUGGGUAUAUAAGAGGGAUGCAGAUGAAACAAUCAAGGCGGAUGGUCUAUCAAAAAUUAAACACCUGAAAUUGCUUUAUGUUGCGAACGUGAACUUUUCGGGAAGUCUGAGUCAUCUUUCGAAUGAACUAGGAUAUCUUGUUUGGUUUGGAUAUCCGUAUGAGUGUUUGCCUCAAAGUUUUCAGCCACACAAACUAGUUGAGUUAAUCAUAAGUAAGAGCAGUAUUAAACGACUGUGGGAAGGCACAAAGUCGUUACCCAAUUUGAAGCAUUUGGGUCUCUCUUUUUGCAAAAGUUUAGUUGAGAUGCCAGAUGUAGGAGAGGCCCUAAAUCUUGAAUGGAUAAAUCUUGAAGGAUGCGUGCAACUCCAAAAACUCAAUCCAUCGAUUGGGAGUCUGAGAAAGCUUGUUCGUUUGAAUUUGAAAGACUGCAAAAAACUAGUAAUCUUAUCCAAUAAUAUAUUAGGCCUGAAUUCUCUUAAAUAUUUGGUUGUCAGUGGUUGUUCAAUAAUAGAUAGUAAAUGCUUACAAGAUGAAACAAGGAACACAGAGCAGUUGAUCAGCUGUUUGUCGCCCUCCUCUCCUCUCUCUUGUUUGUGUGAGCUCGAUCUAAGCUUCUGUAACUUAGUUGAAAUUCCUGAUUACAUUGGAAAGUUAAGUUGCUUAGAGAGGCUAAAUUUAGAGGGAAACAAUUUUGUUAAAUUGCCUAACCUCAAGGACCUUUGGAGACUGUCUUUUUUAAAGCUACAGGAUUGCAAGCGAUUGAAAUACUUGCCUGAUCUCCCUUCACGAACUGUCUUGCCCUCAGAACCUUUCAUACCGAGAUUCCCAUCUUCAAUACUUGAUUCGCCUGAUUUUUUGACUGAGGAAGAAAUAGGUAUUAGAUUUGCAGGAUUAAUCAUUUUCGGCUGCCCAGAAUUAGUUGAGAUUGAACAGUGCACUACAAAGAGUUUUUCAUGGGCAAUUCAAAUUGUUGAGGCGACCUACCACCAUGUGGCCUACCAAUUGCCACAAAGUAUUAUACCUGGAAGUCAAAUACCAAGCUUGUUCGACGAUGAGUUUGAGAACGUCGACAUAGGAUACCCGGACGAAGAAUGCCUGUACCUAUUGGUUGAUCCACCUCCCGUUCCGCAUGACAAUAAUUUUAUUGGUGUUUUGUGUUGCGUAAUAUUUCGUCUAGACCAUGAAGAAAUUCCAAUGGAUUCUAGAAGAGAUCACAUGUGGUUACAUUAUGAAGGGGUUUCUAUGGACGAACGGGAUAUUCCUGCUUGUGGUUUCCCUUGUGACUGGAUUGAGUCAUUGUUGGGUUACAAUAAUAUUGCUACGGCGUAUGUGAAGAAAUUUAAGUAUCGCUGGGUAAAUGAACAAGACCUAAUUAACCUCAAAAUGACGCAUUUUUCAAAUUUCACAGGUCGGAAGCGCAAGAUUUCCGUAAUUGAGGAAAACGGUUAGCUACAGUGAAGAAUUGAGGCCUUUAUUGAACGUGGAAUGUGGAAGUAUGAUUUGCUACCAUCUAACCAGAGAGAGGCACAGUAGAAGCAAGAAGCAGCACUGCAUUCAAAUUCCCCUUGAAUAGCCACAAUACUUCUCUUUUCUCAAGAUAUAGUAUUGUUUAUUGUAAAAUCUACUCGUUUAAAAAUUAACAAGAUUUUAAGUGUGACUCACGGCUGUACUUUAAUAUUACUGUCUCACAGUCACUGCCAAUAUUUCUACCGAUAAUGUAUUAGUCACUGCCAAUAUUUCUACCGAUAAUUUAUUGGUCAAAAAUGAGGUAUUCCCUCUCUCAAAUUCCAUUUUGUGUGAAUUCUUCCCUUCGCUCUCUGCUCUCGUUGUUGAAGCUUCCGCUGUGGUCCAGCCAUCCAAUGAGUGUGUGGUUGGUUGUUCAUCCUCGUUUGAGGCCUGCUUCGUUGAUGCUUCCGUCGGAGUUUGCUAUUGUGAGACAAUUGGAUGUCUCUUCCGUUAGAAGAAAAUAUUGUAUUAAUCUUGUAAUAGUUUUAGAAUAAAAGAUACUUCAUAUUUCAUAUUAUCCGAUAGGUAGAAUAUGAAAUAUUAUACCGUUAGAAGAAAUUGGCAAUGAUUAAUGAGUACAUAGAUC